GUAAGAAAAAAAAUUCGGUUGAGUCACAUUAGGAAAUAUUAAGAAGAAAAUGCAUCUUUAUUCCCUAGGUGUUCUUCCUGCUCUGCUAAAGCAGCCUCUGGACAAAGCCAGGAGCCAGCCUAGCUGUGCUACGUGGAGGAUUUUGUGAACACAUGUGGAGAGUGAGAGUCUCUUAUGGCUUGUGUACAAGGCUGCAACUCUCUUCAUUUCAUUAUACACAGCAUGGGAAAGGCCUUCACAUAUCUGCUGUGAGAGCAGAGGAACAGGUUUCACUUCUUGCAUCACUGCUGAUACCUCAGGUGGUUCAAGCCCAGGCUUCUCCCUCAGCAUGCUGUCCAUACUGUAGCUGUUGAAUGGGGCAGCACAGAGCUACAGCCAUGACUCUGCUGUUUCGAGAGGGAUCUCCUCAAGCAACACCCACCACUGUGGAAGAUCAAGCAGACAGGAGAGGCGGGGAAGGCAGUAUCCCAGGGACCUGCCCCAAAAGGUGUAUCUUCCUGCAGGAACAUGCCCAGGCUUCAGUGCUAUUCACCUCAGGAGUGGUCAAUCACACCCCAAGCUGGACUGCUUAUGGAGCGGACUUGUUUUGAUAAAGGUAUUUCUGUUUCUCUCUUUUCUGAAGACAUAUGUAGUAUUUUACAAUGGAAGGAGAAAUGCUGUAACUGGCUGUUGCCCUCUGCAGUUGCUAACCCAC
rnacentral:lncRNA from 1 species